UUCUUCUGUUUUACUAUGACUCGGAGAAUGAGGCAGAAAGAGGGAACAAGGGUUUCUGAGGGGGUGGUUGCCGCCUCUCUCUGCCUGUGAUUUCAAUCAUCUUCAACAACUCUCCGUUAUGUAUGUAUAUGUAUACAUAUGUAUGUAUGAGUGUGUUCUUUUUUUUCUAGAUUUUCUAUGAAAAUGUGUGUGUAUUUAGAGAGAGAAAGUUCACGUGAUCCGAGUCAUAUAUAUGGAAACACACUUGUUCCUGGAUCCAUUGCUGCUUAUAAUACUACUCAUCCUUGAAACCAAAACCCUACUUACGAGGCUAUGAUGAUUUCACGUGAUCCGAGUCAAAAUCGGGUCAAGAUUCGAGACUUUCCGCAGCUUGGCGGGGCAGAAUUGGAGGAGGGCAAGUGCGCUUGCAACCUCUGUUGCAGCCAUGGCGGUUUGGUACUCUUGUUCCGAUCGUAAAACAGAUCUGAGCCUUAUUUUCUUAGAAUCAGAUUUCUAAUUUGAUUUGUUGUGUGUAUUUUGAUUUUUGUUUGAUAUCGAGCAUCCGAUUUGGUACCAUUGCGGUGACAUGUUUUCUGUUUUUUUAUAGUCUGAAUCUUUAGUCUGAGGGUAUUUUGGGGUUUGAAUAUUGUUCUUAAUAUACUUUGUAAUUGAGUUAACUGUCAUUUUCGUCCAUGUGGUUUGUUUAGUUUUGCCAUUUCAGGUCAAUUUUCAAAAAUGCACCAGUUUUCUCCUCGACAUACUAGAAACGUGCCACUCCAGUCUAAAAAUUAAAACUCUGUUAAUUCAGUCAGGUUAAAUGAAAGAUAUUAUUGCCAGUUCAUAUAUCUUUUAUUUUCACCUUAUUUUAUGAAUUAACAAUAAUAUUCUUCAUUUAACCUGUCUGACGUAAUUGGGUUUUAAUUUUUUGACUGAAGUGGUAUGUUUCCAGUAUGUCAGGAAGGAAAUUGGUGCAUUUUUUUAAAUUUUCCUGAAAUAGCAAAAGUGAACAAACCAACAUACACGAAAAUGGCAAUUAACUUUUUGUAAUUUAAUAUUAUGUAACUCAAGUCUGGUAAGUCACAUUUUACAUUGAUUAAAGUUCUGUGU
rnacentral:lncRNA from 1 species